rnacentral:lncRNA from 1 species
UUCCUUCUACAUCCUAGAUGAACUGGUCUGAGCACGUUCUUCUGUGAGGUUUAUAAUUGAGAUGUGUGGACACUAAGCUCAUAAAGAAUCAGGGCUAAGACUAUGAUGGGUCAUAUGCAAGCUGAUGCUGAGGAAGCCCACCAUAAGAACGGAGAAUGGAGCAUUCUGCAGAGAGCAGAGGAACUUGAGAGUUCAUUAGAGAGAAGACUCCUACUGUUUAGAGAACAGAGAUUUCAAGGAAGGAUUAAGGCUGGCAUCCUGAUAGCAAAGGUGGAGACAAAGGAAAGCAUUCCAGAUAACUUUCAAAAGAAACUCAAACAUUCGGAAAUCAUUUUCACUACCAAGAAAGGAAGUUAAGAAAAAUAGUUAUUUCCAAGGUCUCCAGAAUCUGAAGCUCUGCUCCUGAGUUUAUAAAAUGUGGAUGACGUCUAUGAAACUAAGCUCGGGAAGUAUUUUGUCACAUAUUGUGUUGAAAGCUCAUAGGAAGAGGAAAGUUGGGCAGUUGUCUAAGUAUAGCGGAGGUUUAUGUGAAGGGAAUGUUGAACCAUGAGGCUCACAUAAGGCAACUGUCUUAAGAAUAAAUAAGUAGUAUGCUAUAAAUAGAUUAUCUACCAUGCUAAAUUAAAUAUGUUAUUGGCUUCUCCAAAUAAACAGACCCAU